CCCAGUACCUGCUGCUUCACUCCCUCAGAGAAGUCAUCAGUACCUGUCCAGCCUCUAGUCUCUCGCCCCAUGUGUCUGGGCCUUGCUGUUGCAGACCUGUGAGUGUCAGGAGGAGGGCACCAGGAAGCUGGGGGAUGGAUGUUUGGGAAAAUUGACCUUAGUCAACCCGGCUCAGCUUCUGCCCCGACUUAAACAAAAUAGCAAUAGCUGAAGAACGGAGAAGCAGCGUUUGAUGAGGAAGGAGUCGUGCUCAAAGGAAAAUUACGAAGAGAAAGUGUCGCGAGGACAUCUGAAGGAUUAUAUGACAGAAACUGAAGAAACAGAGCUGGACAGACAAAGUGCCAAAAGGAAGAACCUGCAGAUAAAUAACAGAGACUUUAAGCAGCAGCCAAACCAACAUGAUGAAGUUCCUGCUACUGCUCACCCUCCCACUGAUGGCAGGUUGUGAUAAAGUUGAUGAAGCAAGAGCUUGUGCAACAGGAUGGGUUCAAUUCACCUGCAAAUAUCCUAAAACAUUUAAAAUAUAUGAGUACACUGAUGUACUUACUCACAGAGGGACAACCUUACGGAGCUCUCAGAAGGAUGUGUGGGAAGACAAAGGCAGAUUUUCUCUGUACAAUAAUACAAACCAAGGAAAGCUCAAAGUGGCCGUUAAACAUCUGGAACAAGAGGACUUUGGGAAGUAUCAGUGUAAAUUUUACAGA